rnacentral:misc_RNA from 1 species
CCCACCCUCACCCACACGCACGCGCACAGGCAGCCAUUCCGUUUUCACAGAGUAAGAGAGCGGCAGAUACACGACGAGUCGCACACACACAAGCGGUUUGAAUCGGUCCUUCUCCUCCGCCACCGCCCACCUGGCCAUCUGCCCAGCUGCUGCUGUACAGGAGCGUAUCGGGGCGACGCCGUGUCUUGUCCUUUGCCUCCCCUUCGCCUGUGAGUCGGGCGUGCUCUCGAUAUUUCGCUUCCCUUCCCCCUCUGUGUGCGUGUGUGUGAGAGCGAAAGGCCGAUGUCCUCGGACGCCGCGCUAGAUGAGAAGCUCACGGAGCUGCUUCGCGUCAUGGUGAGUCGUCUGCCAGUCAACAAGACGCUGCCAGCGGCGGUGGUGCAGAAGCUUCUGCUCGCCAAGUACGGUGACACGUACCCGGAGGCGUACGUGGCAAGUCGCUCGACGUUUAUCGGUGACACCGUGAUGAAGCUCAUGAUCGAGAAGGAGAAGGCUGCCACAGCGGUGACGGCGAACGGCGACGCCAGUGAAGAGGAUGACGAUGGCAGCAACGCAUCAGACGAAGACGACUCUGACGAGGGCGAUUCGGGAGAAGACGAGGAGGAGGAUGCAGCAUCCGACUCCGACGAUGAAGACUUCGACUCGGACGACGAUGACGACGACGAUGAUGACGACGCAGAGGAGCCAAAGAAGAAGAGCGCGCGUGUGGAAGAGGUGGACAGGACUGCGCUGAAGGAUCAGCAGGAGGCGGCAACGCCCUCCUCGGCCGUGUCUGUGGCCGAGCGCUGCAAGGCCAUGGCGGAAUGCCUGCGCAAGCUGAGCUACCAUGUUCGGGCCCCCACCGCUGAGGAGAGCCUGGAGGAUUACCUGCGCGAGUACCUUUUGGUCGAGUUCGAGAAGCACGGCAUGGACCCGGACAAGUACAGCAAAUCAGACAUCAAGCGCUACCGCAUCAAGCGCGAAGUGGAGCUGCUGCAGCAGGACGGAGCGAGUCUGAGCCUCGACCGCCGCAACCGUGCAGGCCGCGGCUUCAGCAACUUGGCUGUCAGCAAGGAGGCAGGCGGUAGCGGCUCACAAGCCAGCCCGUCUCCGUCGGCGGCGUCGGCGCGGCAAGCGUCGAUGUUCCUCGACGACGAGUAGGAAAAGGAUGCCAUGGUGAAGCUCCUCCCUGGAUCGCACACGCAGCCAUCGAUCGCUCUGUCUUACCUGCCGUUCCGUUACUCGACUGCCAAAGUCGCAGUAGGGCUGUGUUGCUGUCGAGUCGUUGCCUGGGCACGCGCGCGUGUGUGGGGGUUGGGGGAGGUGGCGCUCUCUCUGUGCACGCCGUGGACUUCGUAGUGGUGGCUGAUUGGAUUUGUUCCCCUUGGCCUUAUAUAGAC